rnacentral:rRNA from 1 species
GAUGAACGCUGGCGGCGUGCCUAAUACAUGCAAGUCGAGCGAACGGACGAGAAGCUUGCUUCUCUGAUGUUAGCGGCGGACGGGUGAGUAACACGUGGAUAACCUACCUAUAAGACUGGGAUAACUUCGGGAAACCGGAGCUAAUACCGGAUGAUAUUUUGAACCGCAUUGGUCAAAAGUGAAAGACGGUCUUGCUGUCACUUAUAGAUGGAUCCGCGCUGCAUUAGCUAGUUGGUAAGGUAACGGCGUACCAAGGCAACGAUGCGUAGCCGACCUGAGAGGGUGAUCGGCCACACUGGAACUGAGACACGGUCCAGACUCCUACGGGAGGCAGCAGUAGGGAAUCUUCCGCAAUGGGCGAAAGCCUGACGGAGCAACGCCGCGUGAGUGAUGAAGGUCUUCGGAUCGUAAAACUCUGUUAUUAGGGAAGAACAUAUGUGUAAGUAACUGUGCACAUAUUGACGGUACCUAAUCAGAAAGCCACGGCUAACUACGUG